UUAAAAUUUAAAAUAUUUUACUAAAGAAUUAAUAGAUAUGUUCUUUAAAUUUAAAAAAUUUGGCGGUAUUUUAGUCUAUUCAGAGGAACCUGUUCUAUAAACGAUAAUCCACGAUUAGUUUAACUUAAAUUUAGAAGUUUGUAUAUCGUUGUUUAAAAAAUUUUAUAAGAAUAAAAAUUUUUAAUUAAUUUAAUAAGAUUUUUAAUCAAAUCAAGGUGCAGUUUAUAUUUAAGAAGAAAUGGGUUACAUUAAUUAUUAAUUAUAUGAAUUUUUAAUUUAAAAUUAUAAUGAAGGUGGAUUUGAUAGUAAUUUUAUUUAUAUUAAUAAAAUGAUUUUAGCUCUAAAAUAUGU
rnacentral:rRNA from 1 species